UACGGAGGGUGCGAGCGUUGUCCGGAAUCACUGGGCGUAAAGGGCGCGUAGGCGGCUCAUGAAGGCUGUGGUGAAAGUCCGGGGCUCAACCUCGGAUCGGCCGUGGCGACUCGUGGGCUGGAGCACUGUAGAGGCGGGUGGAACUCCGGGUGUAGCGGUGGAAUGCGUAGAGAUCCGGAAGAACACCAGUGGCGAAGGCGGCCCGCUGGGCAGUGGCUGACGCUGAAGCGCGACAGCGUGGGGAGCAAACAGG
rnacentral:rRNA from 1 species